rnacentral:rRNA from 1 species
ACGGCUCUCGGGGGGGGAUUAGGCAUGUUAGUCGUACGCCUCCCGGCCGUCGGGGGAGGAGUGGCGUACGGCUCAGUAACACGUAGUUAACCUGCCCUCAGGACAGAGAUAACUCCGGGAAACUGGGGUUAAUGUCUGAUAGAUGAGGAAGCCUGGAAUGGUUCCCCUUCGAAAAGACGUUGGAACCGUGCUUUCAACGUCGCCUGAGGAUGAGACUGCGGCCGAUCAGGUUGUUGGUGAGGUAACGGCUCACCAAGCCUAUAACCGGUACGGGCCGUGAGAGCGGUAGCCCGGAGAUGGGCACUGAGACAAGGGCCCAGGCCCUACGGGGCGCAGCAGUCGCGCAAACUUUGCAAUACACGCAAGUGUGACAGGGCUAUCCCGAGUGCCGUCCGUUGAGGAUGGCUUUUGAUCAGUUUAGAAAGCUGGCAGAAUAAGGAGAGGGCAAGUCUGGUGUCAGCCGCCGCGGUAAUACCAGCUCUCCGAGUGGUGUGGAUGUUUAUUGGGCCUAAAGCAUCCGUAGCUGGCUGGGCAAGUCCCCUGUUAAACCCACCGAAUUAAUCGUUGGAUUGCGGGGGAUACUGCCUGGCUAGGGGACGAGAGAGGCCGACGGUAUUUUCGGGGUAGGGGUGAAAUCCUAUAAUCCCGGGAAGACCACCAGUGGCGAAGGCUGUCGGCUAGAACGCGCCUGACGGUGAGGGAUGAAAGCUGGGGGAGCGAACCGGAUUAGAUACCCGGGUAGUCCCAGCUGUAAACUAUGCAAACUCAGUGAUGCACUGGCUUGUGGCCAGUGCAGUGCCGCAGGGAAGCCGUUAAGUUUGCCGCCUGGGAAGUACGUACGCAAGUAUGAAACUUAAAGGAAUUGGCGGGGGAGCACCACAAGGGGUGAAGCCUGCGGUUCAAUUGGAGUCAACGCCGGG